AUGAAUGAGGACAACAAAAUCUCUUUAGAAAGAGUUGCUCCUGUGCUGCAUUUCUUUCUUCUAGGACGCUUAAACUACUCCAUAAAUGGUAUCUGCAUUCCCUGAGAUUCAGUACUCAGUUCUGUAUGGGCUCCGAAUUCCUGUUUAACCACUUUCCUUCCUACAGGGUUCUGAGAAAGGAAACAUAUAGAUAGAAGUGUAUAAUGAAAUAGGUGAUUGGGGCCCCUCAGAAACCAACUGAGUCUUGGUGAAGUCAGUAGAAAUUACAGGUGAUGAGCAGCUUUGGAGCAGAUUGUUACCCAUGCUGAAUUGUGAAAUGAGCUGUUGUCUCCUCUGCCUCAUUUCAGUCAUCUCGACUAGUUGCUUGUAUCAUCAGGGGAGCUCCAGCAAGCAGUCAGGAGCCAUUAAGUUGAAAGCGUGAAGUCAAAAAGUGGAGACACGUCUGCAUUCUAAAAAGAAAUGUCUUGGCUCUACUCUGGGUCUGUAUUCACAAGAUUCGAGUAUCUUGUCUUCAGGCAAAAAGCAGCAGCAAGUUGUAUAGAGGAGAGAAUAUUACAAGUGAAGCUUAGCAGUGUCCAUGGGAUGUAUUAGAAGUAUUCAUCAGAGGCUGCAGCUGCACUCAACUUUCUUAACACCCUCAGCAAAUAACCGAAGUAGCAGUUUGGGUCGAGAAUGAGAGAGGCAAAUGAUUUCCCACCAGCUGUACUGGUCCCUCACCAGGUAAAAAUGGCCGCAGAGGAGAAGUGGAAAGGCUGGCCUUCGAAACAGCACAGCAGGGCUGAGCGGGCAGGUGGAAAGGAACCAUGUGUGCUCCUGGCCCAGCAGCUGGGGGAACCAGGAAGAUUUGCUUAUGCGGCACUUUGUGGGAUAUCCCUAGCAUGGCUGUUCCCUGAAAAAGAGCAAAGCUCCUUCAGGACAGGAUUCAUUGAGGGCUUUGUGAAAUGGCUUGACCUGCCUGAAGCUGUCUUGCCUGCCAUGACAGCAUUUGCCAGUGGCUUAGGAGGUGAGGGCACAGAAAUGUUCACCCAGAUUUUGCUGAAGGAUCCCUUCUUGAAAGAAAAUCCAGUUGUCAUUACACAGGACCUUCUCUCCUUCUCUCUUAGAGAUGGGUACUACGAUGCUCGAGCAAGGGUGUUGAUCUGCCACAUCACCUGGCUGCUGAGAAUACCCUCAGAGGAGCUGGAAGCCCUGGAGGAGUCUCUGCUUGAGAGUCUGAAGGAACAAAAAAAGGAAGAGUCAGAGACUGCAGAAGUGUCAAGAAAAAAGAAGGAAAGACGGAAAAAGCUGAAGAGUUACCUGCUGAUCGGUUUGGCCACUGUUGGGGGCGGCACAGUGAUCGGCUUGACAGGGGGCUUGGCUGCCCCUCUGGUUGCUGCGGGGGCUGCUACAAUUAUUGGAAGUGCUGGAGCAGCUGCUUUAGCUUCAACUGCUGGAAUUGCUGUCAUGGCAUCACUUUUUGGAGCAGCUGGGGCUGGCCUCACUGGUAGGAGGUUGACGUGAGUGUGACCCGCGGUGUUGAUCCCCUGCAAACUGGACGUGGGGAGAAUCUGUAAACGGACUUGCUGGAGCAAGGGGAGGCUGGGAUCCUGCCAUGGCUGCAAAACUCAAGAGAGAUUUUGGCGGUAUGUACACUUGCAUGCUUCCCUUUUGCUGUGCAUGGGUGCUUUGAUCUGCUGGGAAUGUGUGGGACAGAGGAGGAGGACGCUGCGAUCAGGUAGCAGUCCUGGCUACUGAAACAUUCAUGUUCCUUGUCUGAAAGCUGCAGCUGAGUGCAUAGUGUCGUUCCUGAACCAGGAUAUUCACCUACCUCUCACAUCCAGUGGAUUUGCUUCUGGGCUCUUGUAUUCCUUUCUUGUGAGCUUUCCCAAAUCCAGGGGAGAAUGCAUGCAUUUAUUUCAGUUCUUCCCUUCACCUGUUCCCCAACUGCUUGCAGCCCCUGACACUGAAGCAGAGCUUUCACGGUUGCCCAGGGUCUCUGGGGCACACAAAUUCCAUGCUGCCGGUGGGCAGCAACUCACGGAAUGGAGCACAGCUGGCUCGCUUGAUAAAGAAACCCUGUUUCUGACUAACUGAAGCUGGAUCUUUUAUCUGCAACAUACAGGGGCUGUAAUUGUGAGGGGGGGUUGAAGCAGAGAGCAGAGCGGAGAGCAGGAUUUCCCAGAGUCAGAGGCCACUGAAUAGGUUGGAUGUCAGUUUGGGGAGGCA